rnacentral:rRNA from 1 species
GAUGAACGCUGGCGGCGUGCUUAACACAUGCAAGUCGAACGGAAAGGCUCCUGCUUGCAGGGGUACUCGAGUGGCGAACGGGUGAGUAACACGUGGGUGAUCUGCCCUGCACUUCGGGAUAAGCCUGGGAAACUGGGUCUAAUACCGGAUAGGACGAUGGUUUGGAUGCCAUUGUGGAAAGUUUUUCGGUGUGGGAUGAGCUCGCGGCCUAUCAGCUUGUUGGUGGGGUAAUGGACUACCAAGGCGUCGACGGGUAGCCGGCCUGAGAGGGUGUACGGCCAAACUGGGAUGGAGAUACGGCCCAGACUCCUACGGGAGGCAGGAGUGGGGAAUAGUGCACAAUGGGCGCAAGCCUGAUGCAGCGACGCCGCGUGGGGGAUGACGGCCUUCGGGUUGUAAACUACUUUCGCUAGGGACGAAGCGAAAGUGACGGUACCUGGAGAAGAAGCACCGGCUAACUACGUG